ensembl:snRNA U6 U6 spliceosomal RNA
GUGCUUGCUUUGGCCGCACAUGUCAUAAAUUUGAACCAAUAAAGAGAUUAGUUUGACCCUUGUGCAAGGAUGGCAUGCAGAUUCUUGGGGCAGUUCAUGCUUUU